rnacentral:sRNA from 1 species
UGCCAAUGGAUAAAGUUUGGAGAUAGGAACACUUCCUAUUUCCACACAAAAACUAUUAUUAGGA